CACGUAGGCACCAAGCGUUGUCCGGAUUUAUUGGGCGUAAAGAGCUCGUAGGCGGUUCAGUAAGUCAGGUGUGAAAUCUUUGGGCUUAACCCAAAGCGUGCACUUGAUACUGCUGUGACUUGAGUUCGGUAGGGGAGUGGGGAAUUCCUAGUGUAGCGGUGAAAUGCGCAGAUAUUAGGAGGAACACCGGUGGCGAAGGCGGUCUGCUGGGCAGUUGCUGACACUGAGGCGCGACAGCGUGGGGAGCAAACAGG
rnacentral:rRNA from 1 species